rnacentral:rRNA from 1 species
UUAAACCAACAUAAAGGGCAAAUGGUGAAUGCCUUGGUACGAAACGACGAUGAAGGACGUAGCAGCCUGCGAUAAGCUUCGGGGAGGUGGCAAGCAACCUGUGAUCCGUAGAUAUCCGAAUGGGGCAACCCAUCCCGAUGGAAGAUCGGGAUAUCAUGCACUGAAUACAUAGGUGUAUGAAGGCAACCUGGGGAACUGAAACAUCUAAGUACCCAGAGGAAAAGAAAACAACGAAAGCCAACUUUCAGCUUUCAACUAUCAGCUUACAACUUUGGUUGUAGGUUGAUGGUUGUCUGUUGUUGGUUGCGCUCAUUCCCUUAGUAGUGGCGAGCGAACAGGGAACAGCCUAAAUUCUAUGGAGCUAGCCGUUUUAAAAUUUUGUCUUCGGAUAAAGUUUUAGAGUGGUUAAAGAUUCCUCGAUCAAUGCUUUGUAGAAGGUAGAAAGGUAAUAAUGUUUAGGAACGAGCGAUUCCUAAGGGAGCUUAAGUCAGAACAUCCUUAGUUGAAUCCACUGGAAAGUGGAACCAAAGAAGGUGAUAGUCCUGUAAGCGAAAAGGGUUUUGUGCUCCUAGUUAUUAAUCUUGAGUACCACGGGACCCGUGAAAUCCUGUGGGAAGCCAGCGUGACUAUGCGCUAAGGCUAAAUACGUUUCGUAACCGAUAGUGAACUAGUACCGUGAGGGAAAGGUGAAAAGCACCCCGAGAGGGGAAUGAAAUAGUAUCUGAAACCAUUUGUUUACAAAGAGUCAACGCGUUCGUGCCUCACUUAAGUUCGGCACUCCUAAAUGAAAAACGUAAAGAUCAAAAUGCAAAAUUAUGGAAUCCCGCCUUGGCGGGAUGAAAUAAUCUUACCUAAAUUUUAAAUUUUGAUUUUUUAAUUUUAAAUUUAGCGAAGUAACGAGCCUAAGCGAGGUACGAGCGCUAUGGCGUUCCUAUUGAAGAAUGAACCAACGAGUUAGUUGGUAGUAGCUUUAGAUUAAAUCCUACGGGAUGGAAUCGCAGUGAAAGCGAGGCUUAACCGCCGAACUGAAUUUGAAAAGUGGAGCGUGCUAUUUGCGCGCACCGCUUUUCUUGUUCAACAGCUGCUAUCACUAGACCCGAAACCGGGUGAUCUAGCCAUGGCCAGGGUGAAAUACGGGUAAAACCGUAUGGAGGCCCGCACUCACGCGCUGUGCAAAACGCGG